rnacentral:rRNA from 1 species
GCAAGUCGAGCGAGACCUUCGGGUCUAGCGGCGGACGGGUUAGUAACGCGUGGGAACAUACCCUUCACUAUGGAAUAGCCAUUGGAAACGAUGAGUAAUACCAUAUACGCCCUUCGGGGGAAAGAUUUAUCGGUGAAGGAUUGGCCCGCGUAAGAUUAGAUAGUUGGUGGGGUAAUGGCCUACCAAGUCUACGAUCUUUAGCUGGUUUUAGAGGAUGAUC